rnacentral:rRNA from 1 species
CCGCAAUGGGGGCAACCCUGACGGAGCGACGCCGCGUGCGGGACGACGUCCUUUGGGAUGUAAACCGCUUUUCGGGGGGAGGAGGAUGGACAGUACCCCCGGAAGAAGCCCCGGCUAACUACGUGCCAGCAGCCGCGGUAAUACGUAGGGGGCGAGCGUUGUCCGGAGUUACUGGGCGUAAAGCGCGCGCAGGCGGCCGCCUGCGUCGGUCGUGAAAUUCCCCGGCUCAACCGGGGCGGGUCGACCGAAACGGGGCGGCUGGAGGGCGACAGAGGGGGGUGGAAUGCCGUGUGGAGCAGUGAAAUGCGUAGAGACGCGGCGGAACACCGGCGGCGAAGGCGGCCCCCUGGGGCGCCCCUGACGCUGAGGCGCGAAGGCCGGGGGAGCGAACGGGAUUAGAUACCCCGGUAGUCCCGGCAGUAAACGAUGGGCGCUGGCUGGUGGCGGUUUGACCCCGUCAGUGGCUGAGCUAACGCGCAAGCGCCCCGCCUGGGGAGUACGGCCGCAAGGCUAAAACUCAAAGGAAUUGACGGAAUCGA